rnacentral:rRNA from 1 species
AGAGUUUGAUCCUGGCUCAGAGUGAACGCUGGCGGCGUGCCUAAUACAUGCAAGUCGAACGAUGAAGCUUCUAGCUUGCUAGAAGUGGAUUAGUGGCGCACGGGUGAGUAACGCAUAGGUCAUGUGCCUCUUAGUUUGGGAUAGCCAUUGGAAACGAUGAUUAAUACCAGAUACUCCCUACGGGGGAAAGAUUUAUCGCUAAGAGAUCAGCCUAUGUCCUAUCAGCUUGUUGGUAAGGUAAUGGCUUACCAAGGCUAUGACGGGUAUCCGGCCUGAGAGGGUGAACGGACACACUGGAACUGAGACACGGUCCAGACUCCUACGGGAGGCAGCAGUAGGGAAUAUUGCUCAAUGGGGGAAACCCUGAAGCAGCAACGCCGCGUGGAGGAUGAAGGUUUUAGGAUUGUAAACUCCUUUUGUUAGAGAAGAUAAUGACGGUAUCUAACGAAUAAGCACCGGCUAACUCCGUGCCAGCAGCCGCGGUAAUACGGAGGGUGCAAGCGUUACUCGGAAUCACUGGGCGUAAAGAGCGCGUAGGCGGGAUAGUCAGUCAGGUGUGAAAUCCUAUGGCUUAACCAUAGAACUGCAUUUGAAACUACUAUUCUAGAGUGUGGGAGAGGUAGGUGGAAUUCUUGGUGUAGGGGUAAAAUCCGUAGAGAUCAAGAGGAAUACUCAUUGCGAAGGCGACCUGCUGGAACAUUACUGACGCUGAUUGCGCGAAAGCGUGGGGAGCAAACAGGAUUAGAUACCCUGGUAGUCCACGCCCUAAACGAUGGAUGCUAGUUGUUGGAGGGCUUAGUCUCUCCAGUAAUGCAGCUAACGCAUUAAGCAUCCCGCCUGGGGAGUACGGUCGCAAGAUUAAAACUCAAAGGAAUAGACGGGGACCCGCACAAGCGGUGGAGCAUGUGGUUUAAUUCGAAGAUACACGAAGAACCUUACCUAGGCUUGACAUUGAGAGAAUCCGCUAGAAAUAGUGGAGUGUCUAGCUUGCUAGACCUUGAAAACAGGUGCUGCACGGCUGUCGUCAGCUCGUGUCGUGAGAUGUUGGGUUAAGUCCCGCAACGAGCGCAACCCCCUUUCUUAGUUGCUAACAGGUCAUGCUGAGAACUCUAAGGAUACUGCCUCCGUAAGGAGGAGGAAGGUGGGGACGACGUCAAGUCAUCAUGGCCCUUACGCCUAGGGCUACACACGUGCUACAAUGGGGUGCACAAAGAGAAGCAAUACUGCGAAGUGGAGCCAAUCUUCAAAACGCCUCUCAGUUCGGAUUGUAGGCUGCAACUCGCCUGCAUGAAGCUGGAAUCGCUAGUAAUCGCAAAUCAGCCAUGUUGCGGUGAAUACGUUCCCGGGUCUUGUACUCACCGCCCGUCACACCAUGGGAGUUGUGUUUGCCUUAAGUCAGGAUGCUAAACUAGCUACUGCCCACGGCACACACAGCGACUGGGGUGAAGUCGUAACAAGGUAACCGUAGGUGAACCUGCGGUUG